GCCUGUCACAUGGAUCCUUCCUGUGUAUUUUGACUGAUGACCUUGUGGACUGUAUCAUAUGAGGACUUUGCAGUGACUCUGGGGCCCUAGCCUUUGGCCCUGUUGAGGCCUGAACAGUAAUGGUGGCCCUGUGCUCUGGACUUUGCGUGUCUCUGUGCUGUGUAUGUGCUGGUGGUCUGUGUUUGUUUAUUGCCCAUGACCUCCCAGGAAGGUGCCCCACUCAUCGUUCUUCCCUCCAAAAAAAAAAGGAAAAACCAUAUCCCUUCUGGGGCGCAUAGUGAGUGUGUGUAAAAGGGAUGUGUGUAAGCUGAGUAACUGUGAGGUGUGUGUCUGUGCACAGUAUUAAUGGUGUGUGUAAAAUGUGCAUCUUUAGCGUACGUGCAUACAUUCAGAUAAGUAUGUUAUGCGUGUGCAUUAAGGUGUAUACAAUUCGUGAUUUGCAGUGUAUGUAUGUACUGUAAAUGCUGUGUGUAUACACAUCUUCUAUAUACAUACAUACAUACAAAUCAACAAGAAAAUGUACACACGCCCAGCCAAUCACAUAUGUGAAAAUCGUCUCCAAUGGCUUGUGCCUACCAUUCCAAUGUAGUAUAUCAAAACCCAGAAUGUCAUUUAUGGGACCAAUAUACACUCACAUCAUUCUUUAAACCAGUAACGGUGGAGAAUUUAAUCAAUUUCAGCCCAAAAUAAGAAAAUAUGGGAAAAAACUCAAUUCCCGGUCACUUCGCAAUUUUACUCUGACACAUUGUAAUGAUUGCAGGUAACAUAAUUAUACAUGUGAGCAUUUCAAAUAUAUAUACUCUUUACUACUGGUAAGUAUGUAUACCACCUAUGUAUGUGUAUGUGUGUAUUUAUAUAUAUAUUUAUAGCAGUGGCUUUAACAACUGAGAGAUUAGGCUGUCCUGUUGGCUUUGCACCUCUCCAAGUCUGUUCCUGUGGGUCAAGGAUGAGGGGUGACAGUUGAUGCAAUUUCAAGUGAUGUAUAACAUAAUUUUCUGAGCCAACAUAUACUGUUUUGUAGAACAUUACAUGGGAAGUGGAGAAACUGUAUUUAAUUCCCUUGUCCUGGAUCCGUAUCUCCACCUCUCCCCAGGAACAAAAAGGCAUGUUCUGUAAAGGCAUGAGAACAAAAAAAAAGUGUGCCACAGGAACCCCAAAACUAUUUCAAUAAGGAGUACUCUCCAUAUGUAGUUACACACAUACACCUAUCAGUUUUGUACAUAGUUGUUAAACCUUCACUGUAAAAGAAUUAGCCUAACCCACAGGCAUUGCAGGUCACUGCUAGUGAUGUCACUCUCAGGGCACACUGAGAGGUCACUGCUAGUGAUGUCACUCUCAGGGCACACUGAGAGGUCACUGCUAGUGAUGUCACUCUCGGGGGAACACUGAGAGGUCACUGCUAGUGAUGUCACUCUCGGGGGAACACUGAGAGGUCACUGCUAGUGAUGUCACUCUCGGGGCAUGCUGACAGGUCACUGCUAGUGGUUUCUCUCUCGGGGCACACUCAGAGGUCACUGCUAGUGAUGUCACUCUCGGGGCACACUGAGAGGUCACUGCUAGUGAUGUCACUCUCGGGGCAUGCUGACAGGUCACUGCUAGUGGUUUCUCUCUCGGGGCACACUCAGAGGUCACUGCUAGUGAUGUCACUCUCGGGGCACACUGAGAGGUCACUGCUAGUGAUGUCACUCUCGGGGUACACUGAGAGGUCACUGCUAGUGAUGUCACUCUCGGGGCACACUGAGAGGUCACUGCUAGUGAUGUCACUCUCGGGGCACACUGAGAGGUCACUGCUAGUGAUGUCACUCUCGGGGCACACUGAGAGGUCACUGCUAGUGAUGUCACUCUUGGGGCACACUGAGAGGUCACUGCUAGUGAUGUCACUCUCGGGGCACACUGAGAGGGUGGUGGGGUAUAAAAGACCAAUGCUGUUCUUGGACUGGAAGACUAAAGCCAGUUACAGCUGUAAAAACCUUCCUCUUCACAGACUCACAGAAUGAGAGAUGGGGGAGAUGGAGAGAGUGAGAGGACACCAUGUGAGUGCAGCUCCAAUCUUGACACCUUCUUUGAUAAAGGGGUUUUAUUUGUAUAUUUUGGAGUAGGAAAUCAUGGGGUGAGGAGGCCUGCCAUUAGCAGUGUGAAUGGUAAUUAGAAAGGGGGCGUAAUGAUACUGUGCCAAAAUUAGUAUCUGACUCUGUCUAUUUAUUGGUCUCUUGCUGAAAAUACAGAGGGACAUAUGUAUAAAGAUUACAUUUUAAAGUAAAUCAGUUGGGGGAGGGAAUCAAACAUUUUGGGGAUUAUGGAUCACAACGAAUGAAAGUGACAUUUGCAUUAAACCAACGCUAAUCAUUAAAAUGAUUGUCACCGUG